rnacentral:tRNA from 1 species
CAGCAUACAGUGGCUUGACAUGGGAUCUCAGUUCACAGACCAGGGACUGAAUAACAGUGAAAACGCUGAGUCCUGACCAUUAGACCACCAGGGAACUCCCAAGUGGAGGGAAUUUUGAACCAUAUCUAGACUCAGUCCUGAAAGUAAGGUGUGGCCUUUGAUGGAACAGAUCAUCUGGUUUCUAGGGCCUCUUUGAACUCAGAAAUUCUGCAAUUUUAUGAAUUUACAAUCUAGGUAGGGAGAUAAGACCCAGGUAACUGGAGAAUGGUUUGAGAUCAUUUACAACCAAAGGAUAAAGGUUUUGUGGAUGAAGGUGACUGAUGAUACAGGCAGUAAUUUCUAAAAAGCCCAAUCAUGAGAAUAUCCUGAUGGUCUUUUUAAAUGUAAAGAUUUCUGAGUCCUAUCCCAGAUCAACCAAAUCACAGUUUCCAGAGAAAUUGGUAUUUUUAACAAGCAUCUCUGAUUCCCAAUCAAUGGGAUCUACCCCUAGACAUUUAGAUUUAAUUAGGGCGAUGUUCCAGGUGAUAGUAUUUUGAAUGAAAUUUAUUACAUUUAUAGUUGUACAACAAUCAUCACAACCCAAUUUUAUAGUAUUUCCAUCCCAAACCCCCAGCCCAUCCCUUCACCCCCAACCUGUCUCCUUUGGAAACCAUAAGUUUUUCAAAGUCUGCAAGUCAGUAUCUGUUCUGCAAAGAAGUUCUUUGUGUCCUUUUUUUAGAUUCCACAUGUAAGUGAUAGCAUAUGAUAUUGGUGUCUCACUGUCUGACUAACUUCACCUAGCAUGAUAAUUUCUAGGACGGUAUUUUUUUUUCUUUGCCACAGCAUGAAGUGGCUUGAGUGCAAUCUCAGUUCCCAGACCAGGGGAUUGAACCCAGGCCGCAGCAGUGAAAGUACCAAAUCCUAACCACUAGACCAUCAGGGAACCCCCUAGGUAACAGCAAUUUUUUUUUUUUUUGGUCUUCUUAGGGCUGCAUCCACAGCAUAUGGAAGUACCCAGGCUAGGGAUCAAAUCGGAGCUGUAGCUGCCAGCCUACAAAACAGCCACAGCAACACCAGAUCCAAGCCAAGUCUGAAAUCUAUACCACAGCUCAUGGUAAUGCCAGAUCCUUAACCCACUGAGAUUUGUCAGGGAUCAAACCAGAAUCCUCAUGGAUACUAGUCAGGUUCAUUAUCACUGAGCCAUAAUAGAAAUUCCUGACAGUAAUUUUUUAAAAGCCAUACAGGUGGUUCUAAUGUAACCAGAGUUGAAAACCCCUGGGUUAGAUCAUUGAAUUGCUGGGAAUUUUUUUAAAAGGAUCAGAUAUUUGCAGACCCAAGUUCAUAGCAGCAUUAUUCACAACAGUCAAAAGAUGGAAGUAAUUCACAUGUCUUUUGACAGAUAAAUGGAUAAACACAGUGUGGAAUAUAUAUAGAAUGGGAUAUUAUUAAGCCUUAAGAAGAAGGAAGGACAUUCUAACACGUGUUACAACAUGGAUGAAGCAUGAAGGACAUUAGCCUAAGUAAAAAUAAACCAGUCAUAAAAAAGACAAGUAUUGUAUGAUUCCACUUAUCUGGGGUAGUCAGCUCAUAGAAACAGAAAGUAGAAUGGUGAUUACCAGGGGCCAGGAAGAGAAGGGGGAUGGGGAAUUAUGGAUUAAUGACUAUAGUUUCAGUUUUGCAAGAUAAAAAGUUCUGGAGAUGGGUUGCACAACAAUGUGAACAUACUUAAAACCACUGAACUGUACACUUAAAUAUGGUUAGGAUAGCAAAUUCUAAGUUAUAUGUAUUUUACCACAACCAAAAAAAAAAAUUUUUUAAGCGUAGGAAUGGUAGAUAAAUACCUUGCUUGGCACCACCCACACCCUCAGCCCUGGCAGACAUUGCUAAUUGAUUACUGAAUACUCCCACAGAGAGCCCAGGCCUUCCCAACCCCAACACAGGAGAGAAUAGUGUGAGAUAAGACAGGAGAAAGUGAGAUGAUUAAGAUGCUCUGUCUGCAUGUUUGGAAGAAGGAAGUUCUCUCCAGCGCAGUGGGUUAAGGAUCUGGCAAUGACACUGCAGCAGCUUUGGUCACUACUGAGGUACAGCUUUGAUCCCUGGCCCUGGAACUUCCACAUGCCAUGGGCAAAGCCAAAAAAAAAAUCCCCUCAAAUGCACUUUCUACUCUUUAAAACUGCCUGGUGAGCAGAAGAGCAAAAGCCCUUUUUGUGUUGCCAUGUUAUUACACAGCCUCACCAGGAGACUAACUAGUCACAGGGGUCCACUGGCAAGUGCCCUAGCAAGGAUCCAGAGAUGAAGCUGAAGUGAAGGUCUUCCUGCCCCCAAAUCCUUGGGGG